rnacentral:rRNA from 1 species
UACAGAGGUCUCAAGCGUUGUUCGGAUUCAUUGGGCGUAAAGGGUGCGUAGGUGGCGCGCUAAGUCAGGUGUGAAAUUUCGGAGCUUAACUCCGAAACUGCAUUUGAUACUGGCGUGCUUGAGGACUGGAGAGGAGACUGGAAUUCACGGUGUAGCAGUGAAAUGCGUAGAUAUCGUGAGGAAGACCAGUGGCGAAGGCGGGUCUCUGGACAGUUCCUGACACUGAGGCACGAAGGCCAGGGGAGCAAACGGGAUU